UUAUUUCAAACUACGUUAUGUAAUAACUCGUACCUCAUGUAUGUAUGUAAAAAUGUAAUAUUUGUUGAUGCUUUCCCAUCGUGGAAGUAAUCCUGGUGUAUGGCUAUGAGACGUGACGUGGAUCUUUCGAGGAGUCCUAGGGACACUCGACGGACUACCGGACUUAUACUGUUUUAAGUGCGUUUUGGAUAAUUGCUGUUCCAACAGCGAUUAAGCGCAUUUAAGCUAGUUUAAGUUGGGCGGUUCCGCCACAGGGCGCAAGGGGUCGGACGCGCCCGACCCCCCGUCGCAAGGCUCCGUCUCGCCCGACCCCGGGCGCUAAGGGUCGGACGUGUUCGGACCCACAGGAUAGAGCUUCGCCUCGCCCAAGGACGUGAGCGGACCAGCAG
rnacentral:lncRNA from 1 species